GAAAUUCAAAUAAUUAUACAACAAACACAUAGGUUUUUCUUUAACAGUAAUUGCACAUAAUUUCAAGACAUGAAUAGUUAUGCAAAUAUAUUUUAUCAUAAUAUAAAAUCUUAGAAAGGUUAGCUCCCCUUACCUCUUUUCCAGACUUAGUUUCUUACUCAGAAGUUGUUCCCUCGAAAAUCCUCCAGAAUCUCUACUCUCUUUGCAACCAAAAUUUCUUCCUAAUUCUUUUCUUCUCUCCCUUUCUCUCUUUCUUUCUUAUUUCCUCUCCUUCUUGUGCAGAAUCCUUCUUCGCCCCCCUCCCCCCUUGACUAUUUAUAGCCAAAAAUUUUACUAUUCAACUUUUUUUUAAAUAUUAUUUUAUUAAAAAAAUAUUGUUUUAUUAAAAAAUAAUAUUUUAAUCCCACUUGCACCUAAAUAUAUCUGAUCAUUCUUGGCACCAACGUGGAAUGCUUAUCCUUGGGCACUAUUCAUUUUUUUAUU
rnacentral:lncRNA from 1 species